GGAAGGGCUGUGGCUCAGGGGAAGAGCAUCUGCUUGGCAUGCAGAAGGUCCCAAGUUCAAUUCCCAGAAUUUCCA
rnacentral:tRNA from 1 species